UGCAAGUCGAACGGAAUCUUUCGGGAUUUAGUGGCGGACGGGUGAGUAACGCGUGAGAAUCUGCCUUCAGGUUCGGGACAACAGCUGGAAACGGCUGCUAAUACCGGAUGUGCCGAGAGGUGAAAGCUUUAGUGCCUGGAGAUGAGCUCGCGUCUGAUUAGCUAGUAGGAGUGGUAACGGCACCCCUAGGCGACGAUCAGUAGCUGGUCUGAGAGGAUGAUCAGCCACACUGGGACUGAGACACGGCCCAGACUCCUACGGGAGGCAGCAGUGGGGAAUUUUCCGCAAUGGGCGCAAGCCUGACGGAGCAAGACCGCGUGAGGGAAGAAGGUCUGUGGAUUGUAAACCUCUUUUGACAGGGAAGAAGACAGUGACGGUACCUGUCGAAUCAGCCUCGGCUAACUCCGUGCCAGCAGCCGCGGUAAUACGGAGGAGGCAAGCGUUAUCCGGAAUUAUUGGGCGUAAAGAGUCCGUAGGUGGGUCACCCAGUCAGCUGUUAAAUAGUGAAGCUUAACUUCAUAGAGGCGGCUGAAACUGGUGGUCUAGAGUGUGGUAGGGGUAGAGGGAAUUUCCAGUGUAGCGGUGAAAUGCGUAGAUAUUGGAAAGAACACCGGUGGCGAAAGCGCUCUACUGGGCCUGCACUGACACUGAGGGACGAAAGCUAGGGGAGCGAAAGGGAUUAGAUACCCCUGUAGUCCUAGCCGUAAACGAUGGAUACUAGGCGUUGCCCGUAUCGACCCGGGCAGUGUCGUAGCCAACGCGUUAAGUAUCCCGCCUGGGGAGUACGCUCGCAAGAGUGA
rnacentral:rRNA from 1 species